rnacentral:rRNA from 1 species
AGAAGCAGCCAUACAUUCAAAGAGUGCGUAACAGCUCACUAGUCGAGAGUUCCUGCGCCGAAAAUGUCCGGGGCUGAAACACGACACCGAAGCCGUGGACUCGCAAUGCGAGUGGUAGAGGAGCAUUCUUAAAACCGACGAAGCUGUACCGUAAGGAGCAGUGGAGGGAUAAGAAGAGAGAAUGCCGGAAUGAGUAGCGAGAGAAAGGUGGGAAUCCUUUCGGCCGAAUAUCUAAGGUUUCCAGAGUAAAGCUGAUCUGCUCUGGGUAAGUCGGGGCCUAAGCACAGGUCGCAAGACGUAAGCGAUGGAUAACAGGUUUAGAUUCCUGUACCACGCAUUAUCAGAACUGUAGGGACGCAUGUGGAAAGCACGGGCCGGGAAUGGAAAGACCGGUACAAGCGGGGUAGGUGUACAAUAGGCAAAUCCGUUGUAUAAUCCGAAGACGUGAUGUGGAGCGAAAUAAAGUAGCAAAGCGUGUGAGCCAUGUGCCGAGAAAAGCUGCUAUUGUGUAAUGCGUGCCCGUACCGUAAACCGACACAGGUGGAUGAGGAGAGAAUCCUAAGGCCGACGGAAGAAGCAUUGUUAAGGAAUUCGGCAAAAUGACCCCGUAACUUCGGGAGAAGGGGUGCCUGCGAGAGCAGGCCGCAGAGAAUAGGCUCAAGCAACUGUUUAGCAAAAACACAGGUCUAUGCGAAACCGAAAGGUGAAGUAUAUGGGCUGACGCCUGCCCGGUGCUGGAAGGUUAAGAGGAGAGGUUAGCGCAAGCGAAGCUUUGAAUUUAAGCCCCAGUAAACGGCGGCCGUAACUAUAACGGUCCUAAGGUAGCGAAAUUCCUUGUCGGGUAAGUUCCGACCCGCACGAAAGGCGUAAUGAUUUGAGCACUGUCUCGACAAUGCAUCCGGUGAAAUUGAAGUACCAGUGAAGAUGCUGGUUACCCGCGCCAGGACGGAAAGACCCCAUGGAGCUUUACUCCAGUUUGAUACUGGGAUUCGGUACUGCAUGUACAGGAUAGGUGGGAGACGAAGAAGGAUGGACGCCAGUCUGUCCGGAGUCGCUGUUGGGAUACCACCCCUGUAGUACUGGGUUUCUAACCAGUUGCCAUGAACUGGCAAUGGGACAAUGUCAGGCGGGGAGUUUGACUGGGGCGGUCGCCUCCGAAAGGGUAUCGGAGGCGCUCAAAGGUUCCCUCAGAAUGGUUGGAAACCAUUUGAAGAGUGCAAAGGCAGAAGGGAGCUUGACUGCGACACCGACGGGUGGAGCAGGUACGAAAGUAGGACUUAGUGAUCCGGUGGUAUAAAGUGGGAUUGCCAUCGCUCAACGGAUAAAAGCUACCCUGGGGAUAACAGGCUUAUCACUCCCAAGAGUUCACAUCGACGGAGUGGUUUGGCACCUCGAUGUCGGCUCAUCGCAUCCUGGGGCUGUAGCAGGUCCCAAGGGUUGGGCUGUUCGCCCAUUAAAGCGGUACGCGAGCUGGGUUCAGAACGUCGUGAGACAGUUCGGUCCCUAUCCGGCGCGGGCGGAGGAUAUUUGAGAGGAGCUGUCCUUAGUACGAGAGGACCGGGAUGGACGGACCACUGGUGUAUCUGUUGUCGACCAACGGCAUGGCAGAGUAGCCAAGUCUGGAAGGGAUAAACGCUGAAGGCAUCUAAGCGUGAAGCCCCCCUCAAGAUGAGAUAUCCCUCCUUCGGGAGUAAGACCCCUUGA